rnacentral:rRNA from 1 species
CCCUUAGAUGUCCUGGGCCGCACGCGUGCUACACUGACACCUGCAACGAGUUAUUCCAGCUCCGAAAGGCAGUUGGUAAUCAGAAAUAGGUGUCGUGAUGGGGAUAGACCCUUGGAAUUAUGGAUCUUGAACGAGGAAUGCCUAGUAAGCGCACGUCAUUAGCGUGUGCUGAUUAAGUCCCUGCCCUUUGUACACACCGCCCGUCGCUCCUACCGAUUUCGAGUGGUCCGGUGAGCCUUUUGGAGAGUGAGCGUCCUUGAGGCGCUUGCUCGAAGUCAGGCAAAUCUUACUACUUAGAGGAAGGAUAANUCGUAACA